CUUCACCUCUAAGCCCUUCCAGGGCAGUGGAGGGGCCAGGGGAUGGCACAGAGGCACAGAUGGAGCUAAAGCCAUGAGAGAAGGAGACAGGCAGGAAAAGAGGCCGGUGCUUCCCUGGAGGCGCCGGGACUGGGAAUGGGGCUCUUAAGGGAGGGCUGGUCAGGGAAGGCUCCCUGGGGGAGGUGAGAUAAUCCCUGGGUGGAAUCCCAAGAGAGAUACUGCCGUUCAGCAGGGGGUGGGAGCUGUGUGGCUCUAGCCUUGGGCUCAGCAGGGUUGGUGCAAGAAUGAGGCCUGGAUUUGCUCUGCACGGUCUCAAGAAAACCAGGGUCAGUGGAGGACGCCCAGGAGGACCCAUUUCAUUUCAACACAGGGGGACUUGUCCCAGGACAGAGCCAUGCAAAGAUGGAAUGAACUGUCAGAGAAAGGAAUGAGCUCUCUGUCCCUGGAGGGCCAGAGGGAUUAGCUUCCACGCAGGGCGCUCAGAAGGAUGGCGGUCACCCGCUGGAAGUCACCAUCACCACUUACCAUCCGGGAAGAUGCUGCAGCCCUAACCCCCUGUACCACAGAAUGUGACUUUAAAGA